CUAUGUAACCUAGGCUCUGAUACUAACUUGUCACGACCCAAAAACUAACCCUAUCAUGAUGGAGCCUAUCGUGGUACUAGGAAAGCCGACACAUUAUCAAAAUAAAUUGAUAUUUCAUUUCAAAGAUAAUCCCAAAUCUAUUUAAUAUAAAACCUUCAUAAAGGAGUUCAAAUCAAAACGAGUGUACGGAAAAGAAAGCCUGACAUCAGGGUGUCACUAGUCAUGAGCAUCUACUACAACCGUCGGACAAUAUCGAGACUAACAUAGUCUAGAAAUAACUGAAUACAACUAAGGAAAGAUAAAGAGUGAGGGAAGAAGGGUUGCGGUCGCCAGGCAUCUACCUUGCUAACUCUGAUGGGUCUGUAAUAGAACAAUCAACACCUGCUACCAUGACAAAAAAUGCCCGGAUCUGCACACAAGGUCCAGGGAGUAACGUGAGUACGCAAACUCGGUCAGUAACAACAGUAAAUAAAGAUUGAGAAGUAGUGGUGAGGAAUACUGCAACUAAAGUUCAUACCACAGAAACAAAGUAAAAUACGACACGCUUUUAAAACUAUAGUUUGAACUAAAUCAGCUUGUUCAAAUCCAGUUCUAGUAAAAUCAUUUUAAAAAUAUCUUUCAACAGUUUUUAAAAAAGGCUAAAUGCAAAGGUGAGCAAAAAUGAUGAAAUCAUAAACAGCCCCUCGGGCAAACAUCGCUCAUAUACAGCCCCUCGAGCAAACCUUACCAUCGCUCGUAUACAACCCUUCGGGCAAACCUCGCCAUCAGUCAGCACUAGGCACUUGCACUCAGUAGGUACCUAUGCUCACUAGGGGUAUGCAGACUCCAGAGGGGCUCCUUCAACCCAAGCACUAUAACAAGCCAAUCAUAGCAUAAAUCAAUCAGGCCCUCGGCCUCACUCUGUCAUGAAUUAGUAAAACAUGCUACGGCAUGCAGCCCGAUCCCAUAAAUUUCCUCAUAUAUUAGGCCCUCGACCUCACUCAGUCAUAACCUCUCCAGCCUCUCGGGCUCUCAGAAAACAAGGUAUUCAGCCCAAAGAAUGUUUAUAUGAUGCAUUAAAAUGGAGUAAUAGAAACUGAGUUAUGCAGUAAAUAAGUAUAAACAUGAUAGAGUAUAUAUUUCCAAUCGAAAACAAUGAGAGGAUAGCAAUAAAAGACCUCUAAGGGCCCAAACAACACUAGCAUAAGGCGUAAACAUGGCAUCCAACCCGAUUUACAGAAAUUCUUUUUAAAACAAGUAAGAAGUAUGUAGUUUCAACAAAAUAUUCAACUUUACAGUGAUACGGGACGUACCAAGUCACAAUACCCAAUGGUGCACGCCCACACGCCCGUCACCUAGCAUGUGCAUCACCUCAAAAUAGUCAGAUGACACAAAAUCCAGGGUUUCAUUGUUACACCAUAUGUUUUCGUACGUGAGAGUAUUCGUAAAUCAAUUGAUGUAAGCUCAUAAAUAAGAUCAACUUUGAAAGUACAUAAAGUAAGUUAAUCAUGUUACAAUGGAGGUUACAAAUAGUUAAGAUCAUGAAUACCAAGUACCAAGAGGGUUUGAAGGCUUCGAAGCUAAAUGAAUUGAAGAAAAUAAGUUUCGUCGAAAGUCGACAAGUUGGGAAUGUUGUAACAUGUACUUUUGGGGCGAGAAUAGGGUGUUUAAAAUUAUAAGGAGAUUAUGUUAUGAGUUAUUUUAGUCGUAUGAUAGACGUGUGUUAUGAUUUAAAUUCAAGUGAGUUUUCGAACAAAAGUUGGAAAAGGUCAUCACAAGUUGCAUUCAUAAAUGUGUUGAAACUUAGGUCAAAUGUAACUACAAUUUUCUCCCAAUAUACUUUGAGUUAUGGGGUGUACCACGCAUAAAAUUGAAGAUAUAUGAGUUUAUUUUAUAACUCAUCAAACCUUUUAUCAAUACGACAUUGUAGUAUAGAGAUAUAUGCAUUUUUGCAAGACCGCGUAGGCUGUUAGGUGACAAGUAGGUGUGUCACCUACUUGGUUAAAUGAGAGCCCAAAAAGAGGCAAUUUCGUGUCAGCCAAAGAGACCAUUUAAGGGCUUAUCUCCUGAAAAAAAAUUAAUUAUAUAUCACAAAUAACCAGACCUAAACCUCUUCAAACUUCCUCCCAAAAAUUACCCACAAACCCUAGUUGAUUUUCUCUUCCUUUUCAAGUUCUAAUUGGGGGUAAACCUAGAGUUUGAAGAACAAAGAUAGGAGCUGAGUUACCCAAAAAAUAAGGUAUGCUUACUGCUAUAUUUCAUCCAUUUUUUCUGCUCUAAAUUCUUGGUAAGUCGUUCUAUAGUUGUAAGAACUCACAGGACGGUGAUCGGAAGCAGUAAGUUCGAGUUAUUCACUUGUAGCAGACUGCUUUGUAUUGCUGUUGGGAUGCGUGUUUUACUACUAUUUUAUGGAGUUUUGAAGGAGUAAGGGUGUGAAGAAACACCACAUAUAUGUAGGGUGGAGGGAUGCUCAUUCGUUAUAACAUUUUUGGGCCAUUUGACACUACUACGAUGGUCGUUUUGUAUAUUAAGAGAUUGGGGUGUGUUGGGCUGUUUUGUAGUAUUUUGUGGUGUAGAUAAGGUUGGAAAAUAAUGUAUAUAUGUUGAUAUUGUUGUGUUCUUGUAUCGUUGGUAUUAUCUUGAAUUUGUAGGAAGUAAGGAUUAUAGGGGAGAUGCUGCCCAUUUUUAUACAAAAUAAAUUUGUCGUCCGUUGUGCGAUAGUUGUACCUUUCGUAACAUAAUGAUAGUAUUAUUAUAGUUGUUGUAGAUUAAGGUGUGAGAGACGAGUUCAACUUGGUGAUUGGAAAGAUUGUGAUAAGGUAUGUUAAGGUUAAACGUUUUUUUUUCAUUUGGCAUGAUCCAGUAACUACAUGUGUUUGACAACGAGACAUAAAGAGAAGUUCAUACUCCUGAAUUUAUAUACACUAUCCUAGUCUCAUAAGUUACAAUAUUCUCUCUUAUCGGGAAUUCAUAUUCAGAUUAGUUUUGUCUUACGUUAGCCAAGAGAGAAGAGAGUUUGUAUAUAUAUACAGUAUUACAAUAUUUUUACCACCAUCGAACUAUAAUCGAUGGGCAGGCCUCUGUUGGGAAGUACUACUGUAUUUUCACCACCAUUGAGCUAUAAUCGGUGGGCAGGCCCUAUAGGGCAAUGUCAGAUCAAAUGGUAAGUAUAUAUACCGAGCCUGCUAUGGUGGAGCGCCUAUGAGCGAGCCCAAAAUGGCCUAGAUACAGAGCCUAAUAUGGCCAAUAGCCUCUGAGCGAGCCUAAUACGGCAGAGCCGUUACACAUACCAGGCCUUAUAGGGCCAGACAACUAUUUUACAUGCUAUAUGGAGAGAGUUGAGUCAGUAUCAGCAGGUAAGCAUAUCUUUAGAUUAUCUUUGACUCCCAGUUACAUUCAGUUAUUAUAUUAUCAUUUGAGUUUCAACUUUCAGUUAUUCUAUUGCUUUACAUACUCGGUAAAUUAUUUCGUACUGACGUGCCUUUUGCUGGGGAUGCUGCAUUUCAUGCCUACAGGUGUCACACCUCCUCUUUAACCCGAGAAGGAAUUAUGUAUCAUAACUAUAUCACGGGAACUAUACCCAUAAUCACGAUGAUUUAUUAAUCACACAUAAAGAAAGCUACGAUGUUCGAGAGUUGUUUAUUUGUUCCUAAAUUCAAGGCUAUUGAAGGUCAUGUAUCAUGGAACAGGACCGCAUAAUGCUAUCUCGAAUAUAGGAGAGGUGAAAUUGUUUUGAUUAGAUUUUUAUGACAAAACCCAUUACUGCUGCUAGGCAAGCAUUACUCCAAGAUUAUUCAAUGGGAUUACACAAAUCAUUUUUCUAUCCAAAAAAAUCUCAAAAAAAGGUUAGUUGACCAAGAACACAACAAUGGAGACGCAUGUGUUUGGAAAUAUUCAACAGGUUAGUUAAACACUUAGACUAACAGCUUUUGGAAAGAAAGAAAAUUGUGCAUUAAAUCUCAAGCACUGACUAGCAAAUGGUUUAAAGAAUUUCAAGCUAAUUCAUAAGCUCCCAUGGAUAGUACAUUAUUUACUUGCUGCAGCAUGAAAAACCUUCAGCUCAUACUCCAAUAAUUUCCAGCAUAUAUUACAUACAAAUGGGAAUAAGCAAUUAACAAAGAAUAGAGAAUUUUCAGUGUUUAUUAUAAUCCCACUCAAUUAGCUAAUGAUGAAACACAUUUUCCUUAAAAAACACAUACACAUCUCCAGGCUAUAUAGUUUUCAGUUCCUCCAAAUAGCUUCUCGAUUUAUCAGGAUUGGAGUAUUCCAGCAAAUCAGAAUCUGGUGCAUAUUACUCCAAAAUGAACAAAGUCACAAGACUGACAUUUAACAGCAAAAUUUAGAGAUGGUGCACAUAUCAUUAACUACACCUCAAACUAACGAUACUUAUGCCCACAGAUUGCACACGAGGUGCAGCGUCGAUUUCCAUACUCAUUUUGGCCAUUAUCACUUAAGUCCGCAGCAUGUUCCAGGUAUCAGUUAAAUCAAACACCUCAAUCAAAGUUAUAACAUUGCACUUAUGCUAAAUAAGAUUUCAACACGUUCAAAUAUGCUAAAACUAAAUUUCAAAAGAUUCAAACAAUUGAAGCACAUGAGCUAGAAGUGCAUCUACAAUUUCAUUACGAAUCAGAGAGGAGAUACAUGAUUGGGACAUGUACCUGGUCUCUUAGGAAUCAACAUAAAAUUGCCAAAGAAAGGCUAGAAAGGAGGAAAAGUUGGAGUUCAGCUGUAGUUUAUUUGCAAAACAACUUCAAUUACCAGUUUAAAUCACCUUGAAAAAACUCAGGAAAGUGUGAAUAAAAUCUUCAAAGCUCGAUUUCACUUCAAGUUCUACUUGAAAUCUUUAUUUUUUUUGCAUUUUUCAGAGCUUUUGUUUUUGUCCUCACAUCUGAUCUUUGAACUCGAAUUCAGAAUGUGAGUGUGUGCGUCGAUGACUGAGAGAGGUGAGAAUUGUGUGAUUUCUUUUUCAGGAGAUGAUGGGAAGGUCUACUCUUUGUCUUUUGGAGCAGAUUAAGGGCACCGUUUGCUCUGAUUUUUGGGAGCAGGGAUGCCAUUGUUCUCCUCUCCUAGGUCUAGAUUUUAGGGACUUUAAUGAAAGAGGGGCUUGGGCCGGUUCGUGUAGGCUAAUUAUUUGGGCCGAAGUUUUUGGACUUAUUUUGUAUUAAAUUGGCCCAAUUUCAAAAAAAAAACACUUGUUCA
rnacentral:lncRNA from 1 species